AUAAUCGAUUGCUCUGUAAGGUACCUAUGUAAGAACACAAAUCACACAAGAUUAAGAGAGGAUAAGUAUUUGUCAUAUCCAAUUCAUGGUUCUAUACAGAUCCACUCACUGAUACCAGAAUUCUAUGCAAUCAAAUAAGCAAAAUAAAUGAACACAUUAAAUGAAUCUCAUCAGUUAACUGAAAAGUUCAUUUCCAAGUAUACAGGGUUUUGGUGUCUGGUACUUCUUCACUUUGACAUUCCAACAGGUUUGAGGUUAGAUUUACAAUAAAAUGAGGAUUUCCUAGCCCUGGUCUCUAGUUGUUUUUGCAGGGCUUUACCUCUACAAUGUAACCCCAGCACACACCCAAAAAGUGAAAAGCAGAGGGUAAUGGCUCAAUUGAUAAUCUGAGAAAUAAUCUUAGAUACCCAGUCUUGGGUCUAACAUCCAUAAUACUACACAUAUGUUAUAUAUACAAGAAGGAUUUCAGAUCAGCCAAUCCAAUACCACUUGUCACCCUGUCUUAUGGGUGGUGCUUCGCAAAACCCUUGAUGGCCCCAUGCAUGAACACUCUGCCCCACCCACAGAAAUUUAGCAAUUAUUGCAUAUAUAUAUCUACUGAAUUUUAAUUACAUAGUUAACCUGACAUGCCUUAUGUUCCAAGAAUAUAGCAUUAACAGAAUGAAAAUAUAGAAACUGACAAAUCUUUUUAAGGAAGAAAAAUGACUACAUACUUGCCCGUGUAGAAGCCUGCA
rnacentral:misc_RNA from 1 species